rnacentral:rRNA from 1 species
AACGAACGCUGGCGGCAUGCCUAACACAUGCAAGUCGAACGAGACCUUCGGGUCUAGUGGCGCACGGGUGCGUAACGCGUGGGAACCUGCCCUUAGGUUCGGAAUAACUCCCCGAAAGGGGUGCUAAUACCGGAUAAUGUCUUCGGACCAAAGAUUUAUCGCCUUUGGAUGGGCCCGCGUUGGAUUAGCUAGUUGGUAGGGUAAAAGCCUACCAAGGCGACGAUCCAUAGCUGGUCUGAGAGGAUGAUCAGCCACACUGGGACUGAGACACGGCCCAGACUCCUACGGGAGGCAGCAGUGGGGAAUAUUGGACAAUGGGCGAAAGCCUGAUCCAGCAAUGCCGCGUGAGUGAUGAAGGCCUUAGGGUUGUAAAGCUCUUUUACCCGCGAUGAUAAUGACAGUACCGGGAGAAUAAGCUCCGGCUAACUCCGUG